CUUUAGUGCCUAUGCUAGAAGGCGUCUUCUUCCCAGAUGGCUUUUGUUAAUAAACCUGACGCUCGGUCUAAACGUGAACACGCAUCGCUUGCCGGUGUGGUUUUUCAAAACAUAAAAGGAACAUAUCUUUCAUAUCAGCGAGAAAUAUAUAUUUUUUAACUAAAUGUUCAAUUACUACACAACUUUAUAGGGCUAGUGUUCCCACACGGCCAUAUCUCCAUGUUACGGCAUAUGCUUACGGAAGACCGACAGAAGAGAGGCGAACACCUGUGUGCUAAUGAGCUAUAGCAUGCACCUGACACAUGUGUGUUUAACGGAAGAAUGACACCAGAAACGUGUUGGAAUAGAAAAAUACAGUCGGCUGCAACUGUGAUGAAUCCGGUUAAAACAAUCACCCAGAAGUGCUAUCUGCAGAGUUCGCUCCAGGAAAAGGUCCAGGUCUUCAACCAUUCCUGGACCUGUGACCAAAAACGAGCUACCUAUAUAAAAUAAAUGAACUAAUGACUCUGA